rnacentral:rRNA from 1 species
GUGUCAGCAGCCGCGGUAAUACGGGGGGAGCAAGCGUUGUUCGGAUUUACUGGGCGUAAAGGGCGGGUAGGCGGCCACCGCAAGUCAGUUGUGAAAUCUCCGGGCUUAACCCGGAAAGGUCAACUGAUACUGCGGGGCUAGAGUGCAGAAGGGGCAACUGGAAUUCUCGGUGUAGCGGUGAAAUGCGUAGAUAUCGAGAGGAACACCUGCGGCGAAGGCGGGUUGCUGGGCUGACACUGACGCUGAACUGCGAAAGCUAGGGGAGCGAACGGGAUUAGAUACCCCCGUAGUCC